ACUUAAAUUUUAACAUGGCUGCGGCUGGCCCCUCCAGCUCAAAAGAUAUAUUGUCUGAAGUACGGACUUUUAUUGCGGGUACCAGCAAAGAGAAGUCCAUCAGUCAUGAGAGCUUGGCCAGGUCAGCCCUACACCUCCUCCAGACCCUACCUGUGGCCAGGCACGCUGUCCUAGAACACCUGUGUUCUCUGUUUGAUGAAGCUGUCAAACUCCAUAUUCUCCACAGCGAUGAUCCUACCUAUGAAGAACAAGGAGAAUCAAGUCUAGAUGUGGUCAUCCAAGAUGUGUGUGGUGUCCUGUUUAACUUCAUAAAGACUAACCCUCUGGCCUGGGCACCAAUUAUUUCUAAUUGGUCUUUAGAGUUACUAGGACACAUCAGCUGUAAAUAUGCCCACCAGUGUGGAUUAUCCUCAACUUCAUCCCUCAAUGAACUCCUUCAAAUGUGGGUCACAUGUCGACCUACUAAAGCCUUGAUGGAAGUCGCCACAGAAUGCUUUGCUGCAAUGGUUGGCAGUGCUCCAGAUGUCUGUGUAGAUGCUUUACUGGAAGCCUCUGUCAAAUACAGUCCUCACUUUGAUUGGGUUGUUGCACAUAUUGGAUCAUGCUUUCCAAAUACAAUAAUAACUCGAGUACUUAUGUGUGGGCUGAAAGACUUUUGUCAUCAUGGAAACAAGCGUCCAGACAUGGAGAACCGGGGAGAUGAGAAAGUUCCAAAGAUGGACUCGGUGGUGGAUAUUCUGGGUCACCUGGCGUCCAAACACAGACAGGACAUCCGCGGCGCCCUGAUGAAGCUGUUUGAGGAAAGCAUGAAGUCUGACAGUGAGGUGGUGAAGGUGACCACAGUGCCCUUCCUGUUGGAGCUGGCCUCGAGGUCCGACAUGCUCCUCCAGGUCCUCAGCACGGACCUCAUCAAGUCAUUUUGAUUACCCUGGUGGUACAGCUGAUUAUGAAGAUUGACUUCACCACUCUGGAGGUCUUAGAAUUCUUGUUGGGAAUAGCAUCACCAGUGAACACAAAUAAUUUUCCAUGUCCUGAGGUGCAAGAAGUAGGAGCCAUUAUUAUUAACCGGCUGAUCUUUGAGCUCCAGAGAUCAGUGUUUCACAAACACAGGGACUCAUCCUUUGACGUCCCCUUCCUGUCGUCUCUGGUAGAUCAGUCCACUAGUAUACUGAGGCAGCUGCUGGACAGUAAAGGCCCCAGGGGGGAUUGGCUGUUGAGAAUCACCGCAUACAUCGGUCUGUCCAGUGGGGAGGACCUGACCAGUGACAUGAUGGUGUUCAUCCUGUGUAACGCUACCUCACAUGUUCAGUUGUGCCGCUUUGUUCAGCUACAGAGCAUUGUUGAGGUGAAGCUGGGAGAUGUAUUGCCAGUGGUUGUACAAAAAGUAACAGACAAGCUUCGAUCCUACAAAAUCUCUCAGCCCAACAUCAUACUGGCAAACAUACUGGCCAUAAUGGAAUGGGAGAAGUCAACCAAGUCCAACAGUGAAAGAUCUACAUUAUUAUUCUGCAUGAAGAAGCAGUGGGAGGCAUUCUUACCCCUGCUCACAAAUGAUGACCUUCACCUUGUAUUGAAAGCUGUCAAGGUCAUCAAUACCCUGGAGAUUCCCACCAACAUUUCAAGUGCAACUGCACUCAGACUGUGUUCAACUUUACUCAAUUUCUUCUUCAGAUCAUUAGAAGUUGAAGACACAAGAGCUUCUUCAUCCAUGUUCCAUGCCUGUCGACUGUGUCUGAAAUAUCUCUGUAAAGAGACUUUUAUUCAGUGUAUCGCUCUUCGUUUUCUGAUAGAAAGUUUAUUCAUUAAGGACAUUGCCAUUUUGUUUGGUGCAAAACAAAUUCUUCCUGUAUCAAAGGAUGAAAAGGAGAAAAAGAAUUUUCAGUCUUUGUAUGAAUCCAACAAAAAGCAAGGCUUGACCACAACUCUCCACAGAUCUCAGUCCACUGUGUUUCAUGCAGGGGUCAUAGGUCAAGGUUUGAGGUCCUCAGUAUUCGGACCUAUCCUUCCGAAGGUUCAUAUGGACAGAAAUAAGCAGUGCCUCAUGAGUAUCCUGAGAUGUUGCUCUCAUCAGACCAAGAAGAUAGAGGAAGUGACAACGCCCACCGCGGAGAGUGCGAUGGAGGUGGACGAGUCUGUGGCCAUGCCGUCCCACGGACAGAGUGUGUCCGGAGAUCUGUGUCGGAUGAUCGGGAGCCUGAUGACGGAGCAGAUUACGCCCGAUGUCCUGUACAACAACAGGUUCUGGCCCGAGGAGGAGUCCAUUCAAAUGACUGUAGAGAGAGAUUUACAGAUUUACAAAAAUAUGGAUGAAAAUCCAGUGCUCUGGCAAAUACUUGAUCUGUAUGCAGCAAGUCCUUUAACUAUGUGCAGGUGCUCUCCCAUUCUGAAGUCUCUGACGGCCUCACUAAUGAUCCAUUUUGAAUCUUCAAGAGAAAAGUCCGCUAGAAAUACCCCCAAACAACUAGAUGCAGCAGCUCAUCUUGUUACUUACUUGGGAAAGAGUCGGCUGCUGCCUGCCCCCCUCAGAUAUAUCUCGGAACUGUUCCACACCUCCACCUCCUACGAAGUCUACCUGUUGUUGUUGUCUGUGUGGCGCUACAUGAAGGAGUUUCCUCCCACUGAGGAUCCUGAUGAGGUCAACACCAGAGCUUGUGAACUAAGACAUCUGGAGACCAUCAGAGCCAUAAUGCAUAAUAACAUUGACAAAAUGGGAGCUUUCUAUGGACGAUUUUUCUCUCCAUUUUCUUCAUCAGAUUAAUAAAUUUAUGUGUAUG
rnacentral:misc_RNA from 1 species